rnacentral:lncRNA from 1 species
AUUAAUGACCGCCAAGCAACACCAGGGAGCGUAAUGCAAUAAUCUAAUACAACACAACACAAUACACGCGGAGCCACGAAGCCGCAGGAAUGUGUGGCCACUUUUUCCCCUCCCCAGCCUGGCCUCGUCCCCGCUCAGGCAUCCACACCUGUAAUUUCUGGGGACUUUUACGAUCUGACAGCCAUUUGUGCUUCCCCGAGAACUUAUGACGCGGCGAUGACAAUGUGACCCCGCCAGAAUACCAAGGAUGCGGGAAAAGCCUCUCCGUAACGCCCAUAAAGUCAGGAGGGAUUUGUUCUUAGCAUCUUCUUCCCGCCACCGCCUCGCAGCCUGGCCUUGACGCAGCCCCAGACACCCGCUAGUCCCCAGCCAGCCACCCAACCACCCAACUACCCAUCCAUCCAGCCAGCCAGCCAGGACCACCACCGCGAGGCCUCAUCUGGUGAAAAAAAUGGGGCUCUCGAUAAGGUGGCGAUAGCGCGGAUCACUUCGUCCUCGUCACGGCGACUCAAGUGGUCAUUAGGACGGCGAGGCGGCGGCGCGUGAGGGGCGGCGAUGGCCAGGCUGAGGGGAAUGGUGGGUGGCGGCGAGGGGUGCGGGAGGCAGACAAGGGUGUGAUGACUGAGGGUAAGCGUGACGGGAGGCAGAAGGGCAAGGCAAAGAGAGGGUGAGGGUGAGGGUGAGGGGAGAGGAGGCGGCGAGUGGUCGAUGCAAAGGUGAGGGAAACGUGCCUGAGGGGAGGGCCAGGGGGGCGCGGCGCGGCAGCAGGAGGCACAUGCUGGGCUGGCGUGGCUCGCCGCCUGCCCACCACUCCCCUCGUACGGUGGGGACUCCGGCCUGACGGUAUCGCACACCGCCGCACUCCGCCGCACGCCCACCGCGCCGGGCGGCAGCCCCCGGCACCGCCUAGCCUCGCCUUGGUGCGUCGCGUCCCAAGGCAAUUAAUUGGCGGGAAUCGCUGCCUCAUGACAAAUGUUCUGUAAUUCCCGAAAGAAAAGCAACCAGAGCAGGUGACGGCCAGGAAAUCCUCACACGACAGCUGGAAAAGGAGGAGCUGCUCCCCGCUCAGCCAAUCAGCGGCGAGAACAGCAAAGGCGUCCCUCUGAGUGGCCGAGGGUCUCCUUCACCGGCCAAUGAGCGGCGCCGUAGGAGGUAGGAGGCGUGGCCUGGUGGAGGUCGAGGGAGUCGGUAUAUAAUCCGCGGACCGUCGCGCGCGCGAGCUUUCCAGUCUUCCCUGAGCGAGUGACUCGCGCGGGUGCCGUGUCCCGCCGCCUGGCCCCGCCUCCCCAGCCGCCUCCUGCUCCGUCGUCGUUGUCGUCGUCGUCGUCGCCGCCGCCGACGCUGCUGCUGCCACCACCACCGCCACCACAACGCCACGCAGGCAGCCCUCGACAAUGUGCGCGCCCCGCCAGCCAGGCCCCGACCAGCGGCACAACACCUGUUCCGUUGUGGCCGCGGUUUUGAGGCGCUCCAGUCACUACCACCACGCCGCGCACCACCACCACCACCACCACCACUACUACCGCGCCUGUCACCCCGCCUUCCGUCACCAUCAUAUCAUCACCAUUUCAUCACCAUCUUGCUAUUAAUUUGAUAUUAUUGUUUAUGUAAUGUUUGGUUAGGUGUUUUGUGUGUGUGUGUGUGUGUGUGUGUGUGUGUGUUUAUAUCCAGUUUUUUUUUUUUUUUUUUUUUGGUGUUUGGUGUUUUUGUUAUUGUUUAGGUUUGUGGUGUUGUUGGUGGUGUUAUUGGUGCUUUGUUUUGUUAUUUUCAUGGUUUGUGUGUUAUUAACUAUGGGUGUUGUGGAAAUGUUUGUUGUAGUCGUGUGUGUAGUGUUCAGUUUAGUGUUACUGUUCAUGUUAUCAUUACUAUUACUAUUAUUACCAUUGCUAUUACUAUUAUUAUCAUUAUUAUUAUUAUUACUGACAUUAUUACUAUUACUGUUUCUUCAAUGUUGUAGUUUACGUUAUUCGUUUGCACUACAGUUACCAUUACAAUCCCUAUUACUGAUUUUUUGCCGCUAAAUUUUGACAAGUACACAAAAUACAUAAAAAACGAGAGAGAGAGAGAGAGAGAGAGAGAGAGAGAGAGAGAGAGAGAGAGAGAGAGAGAGAGAGAGAGAGAGAGAGAGAGAGAGAGAA